rnacentral:lncRNA from 1 species
CGAGAGGCUGCUGUCCUUUCAGGCUGUGCGGAGUUUAGGGAAUGUUCACACUGCGUCUGGUUGGUCCUGGCCAUGCCCUUCACUCACUGACCGGUUUCCAACAAAGGACAGCCCAAGAAGACUGCGUCAUCACUAGCACCUUUCCUGCUGGGUGCCCAGAGGAGAGUCACCACCCUUCCACCCUUCCUGACCUUGUUUCUUUUGGGUCUGCCUCCCUCAGCCUGCUGUAAGAACUGUCCUUGAACUUGGAAAUUCCUAUCUGCAAACUCCGUUCACAGGUGAAUUGAUUGUGCUUCUUAAGGAGUCUGCACAUUUGUACUCUAAUUGGGGAACAUAUGUCCUUUUGUGUUUAUGCUCAAAGUAAGAAAAUUAUCAAGUACUUUUAAUGUUUUGAAUUCUUUAUAUCUUC